AUGCUUCGCAGCCGCCGCCUCCUCCUCCCCGGCGGCCGCAUCCCGCCCAUAUCGCCAGUCUCGUGCGGCCAUCCCUCUCUCGCGCAUUUCCUCAAACACCUGCUGGGCGGCCCCGCCGGCCUCUCCAACGCCGCGGCGGACCCGUGCUCCCUCACGCUCCACUUCCUCCGCAACUCCUGCGGCCUCUCGGAGCCCGCCGCCGCCAAGGUCGCCGCGCGCGUCCACCUGCGCUCCACCAACAGGGCGCACGCCGUCCUCGCCCUCUUCCGCGGCCUCGGCCUGGCGGGCGCCGACCUCGCCCGCGUCGUGGCCGCCGCCCCCGAGAUGCUCAACUACCGCGCCGACGCCAUCCUCGCGCCCAAGCUCGACUUCUUCCGCCGGGACCUGGGCCUCACCGACGACCACAUCCGCAAGACCAUCCUCGCCAACCCGUACCGCUCCCUCUGCUACAGCCUCGAGCGCCGCCUCCGCCCGAACUACCUCCUCCUCCGGGAGCUCCUCGGCACCGACCAGAACGCGCGCUCAGCCGUCAAGCAGUCCUUUGAGCUCAUCCACGGCAACGUCCGCUCCGACCUGCUCCCCAAGGUCAAGAUCCUCCGCGACCAUGGCGCCACGGACGCUGUCAUCGUCAAGCUGGUCACCACGCACCCCAGGUCGCUCAUUCACAGGUCCUCCUUCUUCAACGAGAGCCUGGCUGCCAUGAAAGAGCUCGGGGUCAGCCCGUCCUCCGGCAUCUUCCCUUACGCCUUUGGGCUGUUUGCCAGGCUGAGUCCGGUGACCUGGAAGCGCAGGAUCGACAAUUAUCUCAGCUUGGGGUGGACCGAGGAGCUGGUGAAGCUGGCCUUUGUCAGGCACCCCUACUGCAUGUCUGUAUCGGACGACAAAGUGAGGCGUAUCUCGCACUUCUUUGCCGAUAAGCUUGGCUGGAGCCCAGAGUAUGUUUCGGCUAGCCCGAUGCUUAUCUCGCUCAGCUACGAGAAGCGGCUCCUACCAAGGUACCGGGUGCUGGACAUAUUGGUGUCAAGGGGUUUCAUCCGGCGCAUCCGAAUAAGCCACUUGAUACUGGGGGAGAAGAAGUUCAUGGAGAAGUAUGUCACUGGUUACCAGCAAACUAUUCCUGAAGUUCUGGAAGCUUAUAGAGGAGCUGGGACAGACAGUGCUGUGACUGUGAAGUAG
rnacentral:rRNA from 1 species